rnacentral:rRNA from 1 species
GACGAACGCUGGCGGCGUGCUUAACACAUGCAAGUCGAACGCUGAAGCUCAGCUUUUGUUGGGUGGAUGAGUGGCGAACGGGUGAGUAACACGUGAGUAACCUGCCUCCUUCUUUGGGAUAACGCCCGGAAACGGGUGCUAAUACUGGAUAUUCACUGGUCUUCGCAUGGGGGUUGGGGGAAAGGGUUUUUCUGGUGGGGGAUGGGCUUGCGGCCGAUCUGCUUGUUGGUGGGGUGAUGGCCUACCAAGGCUUUGACGGGUGGCCGGGCUGGGAGGGGGACCGGGAACGUUGGCACUGAGAUACGGCCUAGGAUCCGACGGGGGGUAGCACGGGGGGAAAUUGCGCAAUGGGUGGAAGCCUGAUGCAGCGCCGGAGCGUGAGGGGUGGCGUCCGUCGGGUUGGGAAUCUGUUUGGCACAUGGUCAAGCCGCAACAAUGGUUGUGGUGAGGGUAGUGGGUAAAGAAGCGCCGGCUAACUACGUG